GCAAGUCGCACGAGAAAUCUUCUGCUUGCAGAAGAAAGUAAAGUGGCGCACGGGUGAGUAACGCGUGGGUAAUCUACCUUCGAAUCGGGGGUAACACCGCGAAAGCGAUGCUAAUACCGGAUAAUAUCUUUUUGACUUAGGUCUUUUAGAUCAAAGGUGGCCUCUACAUGUAAGCUACUGUUUGAAGAUGAGCCCGCGUACCAUUAGCUUGUUGGUAGGGUAAAGGCCUACCAAGGCAACGAUGGUUAGCUGGUCUGAGAGGAUGAUC
rnacentral:rRNA from 1 species